rnacentral:rRNA from 1 species
GACGAAUGAUGGAGGCGUGCUUAACACAUGCAAGUCGAACGGAAAGGCCCUGCUUUUGUGGGGUGCUCGAGUGGCGAACGGGUGAGUAACACGUGAGUAACCUGCCCUUGACUUUGGGAUAACUUCAGGAAACUGGGGCUAAUACCGGAUAGGAGCUCCUGCUGCAUGGUGGGGGUUGGAAAGUUUCGGCGGUUGGGGAUGGACUCGCGGCUUAUCAGCUUGUUGGUGGGGUAGUGGCUUACCAAGGCUUUGACGGGUAGCCGGCCUGAGAGGGUGACCGGCCACAUUGGGACUGAGAUACGGCCCAGACUCCUACGGGAGGCAGCAGUGGGGAAUAUUGCACAAUGGGCGGAAGCCUGAUGCAGCAACGCCGCGUGCGGGAUGACGGCCUUCGGGUUGUAAACCGCUUUCGCCUGUGACGAAGCGUGAGUGACGGUAAUGGGUAAAGAAGCACCGGCUAACUACGUG